CAGCACCACAAAAGCAGAACGCGCCCGAUCUCAGAAGCGAAGCAGGGUCGGGCCUGGUUAGUACUUGGAUGGGAGAAAAAGCUAGAAGUGGUGCUGG
rnacentral:rRNA from 1 species